CGGCACGGGUGAGUAACACGUAUCCAACCUGCCGUCUACUCUUGGCCAGCCUUCUGAAAGGAAGAUUAAUCCAGGAUGGCAUCAUGAGUUCACAUGUCCGCAUGAUUAAAGGUAUUUUCCGGUAGACGAUGGGGAUGCGUUCCAUUAGAUAGUAGGCGGGGUAACGGCCCACCUAGUCAACGAUGGAUGGGGGUUCUGAGAGGAAGGUCCCCCACAUUGGAACUGAGACACGGUCCAA
rnacentral:rRNA from 1 species